rnacentral:lncRNA from 1 species
GUGCUGUCCUGGUUAUGAAGAGGCCUCUGACAAAUGUAUCCGACCCUCUCCAUCCAGGCUUAGGAGCCACGGCUCAUCUUCCAUCUGGAGGCCUCAGUCCCAAUGGAGCAAAGCACCCCAUCAUCACAGCACCCAACAAGCUCCAAGUCAGUAGGCCAUCCAUGUGUACCAAGCAAGCCCUCAGCAGGAACCCCCAGGAGACAUGCACCCAUUCUGGCUUCUGCACAAUCAUGUGACCUGUACCUGCUGGCCACAGCCCUCACCUCUGCAGGAACUUCCCAAUAUGUAUGCAUGUAGGGGCUCUUGGGGGAGGAGCCUCUUCAGCAGGUAUGGACAUAGGCAGGCUAAGGGCUGUGCUGCCUCAGCAUUGAGAUUCUCUUUGUUCUUGGUGAGUCUUUAACUCAGUAGACAAAAGAAAACUGGAAAAUGGAUGGUGACACUGACCUUUGCUCUUCUGGAUUAGGAGGUCAUAACUGCUAAGGUCUUUGCCAGCUCUAAAAAUGACUCCCUAGCUCGGGUGACUUUGGGACCACUGACCUUCUUCAUGCCCCCUUUUCCAUGUGGGAGACAAGGAUUCUAUACAACAGAAGAUAUGAAAGAACAGACGCUCUGCUACCGCCCCCUGCAGGACACCCCAGGUCACAGCAGCAAUAAUGAUGUGACUUUUAUUAAGCCUACUCCACAUCCUAAAUACUUACAGGUAUUUCUUCACAGGAGCAUGUGAGAAAAAGAGAGAACUUGGCAUGUUGGCCCAAGCCUGUGAUCCUAACACUCAGAAGGAGGCAGGAAGAUCACUACUUUAAGGCCAGCCUGGGCUACAUAGUGAGAUUUAUCUUUAAAAAAAAAAGGGGGGGGUAUAGCAGGCUUUCUUGAACCACCAGCCCCCAAAUCAUGACAUGGAGAUUUAUUAUUAAUUAUGAAUGCUCAGCUUAGCUUAGGCUUGUUUCUAGCUAGCUUUUGUUUAAUUAAGCCAUUUCUAUUAAUCUGUGUGUUGCCCUGAGGCUUAUUUACCUCAUCUACUGUAUUGCCCAUCAGCUUUCCUACCUGUUGCAUGUCUGUCUGUCUGCCCCCCCUUCUCUCUCCUCCCACCAGCCCUGCCUGUCCCUCCUCUGCCUAGCUAUUGGCUGUUCAGCUUUUUAUUAGACCAACCGAGUGCCUUAGGCAGACAAGGUUAAACAAAUGCAGCAUAAACAAAUACGCCACAUCUUUACAUAGUUAAACAAAUAUUCUAUUCCACAAGACCAAAAAGACCCAGGCCAGGAGAUCCCUGCAAUUUUGAGGCUAGCCUGGUCUACAUAGCAAGUUCCAGGCCAGUCAGGGCUAUAUAGUGAGAUCUUGUCUCAAAAAAAAAAAAAAAAAAGUGAAACGAAACAAAAAUCCAACAAAAAACAAAGAUGAGGAAAAGGAGGCUCAAAGGUUAAGGGCUUAAACUUCCAGACACACAAACAGUCCCCUGAGGUGCUAUUCAUUGAUGCAGCCAGCUGUGUAGCCUCACUCCCACCUGAGAUGGCCCGCAGUCUGCUAUGAUUUAGUACAAAGCGUGAAUCUAGGACCUAAGUGUGAAAAGAAGAUUUGUUCUACAAAGCUGAGUUGGAUCCUUAAAAGAUUCAUUCAAACUAAGUCACUUUUCUAAUUGUUUCUGUUUAUUUCACUUGGAGUUAGGGACUGAGGGUCUAACAGGGCAUGUGCUAAGCAAGCCCUCCAACACUGGCUCGAGGCCAAGGUUUGUCAAUUAAAAAGCUGCAGUUGAAUUAGAGACAAGCAAGGAGGGUUUUACAAAGUGGCCCAAAUCCUAAGAGUCUAGAGUAAUCUAGCACUCCAAUUGUUUUAGACAUUCAUGAGCUGAUUCCCUUUACGGAUGCAACCUAAGGGUGGGGAGGAGUUUGGAGAGAAGGUUAAAAGCAUUUAUUGUUCUAGAGGACUGGGGUUCAAUUCCCAGCACCCACAUGGUGAAUCACAAUCAUCCAUGACUCUAGUUCCAGGGGACCUGAGGGCACCAAGCACACAUGUGAUUCACAGAUGUACAUGUAGGCAAAAUACUCAUACACAUAAAAUAAAAUAAAUAAAUCUAAACA